CGUCACUGCUGUUCCCUGCAGGUCCAGCUGCAGCUGCUGACAGCCAUUGUGAAACUCUUUCUGAAGAAGCCAACAGAGACCCAGGAGCUGGUGCAGCAGGUCCUCAGUUUGGCCACUCAGGUGGGUGCCCCAACCUAAGGCUUGGAAGCCCAGCCCUGCCCAGCCUCCUUGUGUCCUGAUGGCUGGAAGACCAGCCCAGCCC
rnacentral:lncRNA from 1 species